ACAACAAAGUUUCCAAAGAUCGCUGAAUACUUGCAGAUAACAUGAUUGCAACGAUAUAUGACGCAUUAUUUGUGUUCUUCAAGCCAUGCAGAUAACUUCAUAAUAUAUUACAUUUAUAAUUUGAUAGCCUACAGUGUCAACAGAAGUGAAAACGGAUUAAAGAAAUUGAAGUGGUCAGCCUCAGCCCCUCUGUGGGUGUGUUUAUUCUAAAGUGGCCAGCAUUAUUCACUGAAGCUCAGAUCAAGGAGGAGUUUAGACGCAUCACAACAUAUUCCUUGGAGGAGACAUUCACACGGAAGCUUGAUGAGUACUCACGAGGUCUUUUGCGGCUAAUGCGCGCCAAAGGAGAAGUAGCUGGUUGCAAGAUGUGUCCUCUGCUGGACACUUUAAAUGACACACAGAACAUUGAGAAACAUGAGAUGCUGUUGUCUGCUGCCUCA